AUGGCGCCCAGAAGGACGCCGUCCUUCCCCGGGCAGCCGAACAGCGCCGACAGGCGCUCGCGGUUGCUCGGCGUCCUCACGCGGUGGAAGCAACCCGGCACCCUCCCGUUAGUCACGACCUGCGACGGCGGCGUGAGUCAGACGCGCGUGCGCUGCAGCAAAGAAAGGAGAGCGCGAGGGGGUGGCCCAGGCCCUUACCGUGAACAGCUCGCCGGCGACGAAGGUGAACAAGUCCGGCUCAGGCGGCACCGUGAGCCAGAUCCCGUCCUGAGCCUGCACCUCGAGGCCCUCCACGCCGUGCUGCACGAUCGCCGUCAUGAUGCUGUCGUCGCGGUGCGCCUGCAGGGACAUGCUGGUCUCCGCGUCCGGCGGGGGCCCGUAGCGCGACAGCCGGACGCUGUGGGCGAGCGUGUCCAGAUGCGCGCCGAUGUGCUCCUCGCCGACGCCCAGGCCCUCCAGGAUCAUCGUCUCCACGGUGCGCUGCAGCUCCCACACGUUCUUGGCCGCGGACGCGAUCGUGUCGCUGCGCGUGGACGGCACACGGUCACCAUGGGCGCACCAUGCAAAAUGGACGCACGGCAGCUGCACGACGGCUGGAGCAAAAAAAUGGUGGGCGCUGCUUGGUUACCAGAAGGCGGGGUUCCCCUGCGGCCAGAGGAGGUCGGCGAAGUCGCGGACGCGGCCGGCGUCGGUGGGCUCCGAGAGGCGCACGCUCUCCCAGUUGGUGCCGGGGACGUUGGAGAUGUAGCCUCGGAAGGGGCCCACCGUGGAGACGUUCCGCUGCUUGGCCUCCGGCGGGAGCGCGAAGAUCUCCGGCAUGACGCGGCCGAACAGCGCCUGCCGGAGCUCCGGGCCGAGCGCGUCGUGCGCCACGACGACGAAGCCGUGCGCGACCACGGACGCCGUCACCGCGUCCCGGGCUUCCGCCCAGCCCGGCCCGCCGGGCUCCAGCCCGCGGAGGUCGACCGUGGCGAUCUCCAUCAGCUGCUUGCUGCUGGGAGCCGUCGUCUUGGCUUGGCUUCCGUGGGAUGCUUCUGGGAUCUUGCUGUGCUCGAUGGCGACAGGUAA
rnacentral:rRNA from 1 species